GAUGAGAACGUAGCGAAAUGCGAUAAGUAAUGUGAAUUGCAGAAUUCAGUGAAUCAUCGAAUCUUUGAACGCACAUUGCGCCCGGUAGUAUUCUGCCGGGCAUGCCUGUUCGAGCGUCAUUUCAACCAUCAAGCCCCAGCGCUUGUGUUGGGGGCCUGCGGCUGCCGCAGCCCCCCAAAAGCAGUGGCGGGCUCGCUAUCACACCGAGUGCAGUAGUUCAUCUUCUCUCCGGUCUUGUGAGGCGGGUUCCGGCCGUGAAACACCCCACUACAUUCAAGGUUGACCUCGGAUCAGGUAGGAAUACCCGCUGAACUUAAGCAUAUCAAUAAGCGGAGGA
rnacentral:misc_RNA from 1 species